CUACGGGACGCUGCAGAUACGAAGCCUCUACAAUGCACGAAAGUGUGAUAGGGGAACCCCUCGUGCUUGCGUUCAGCGUAAGCUUUUGUUAAGUGUAAGUAGCUUAGCGAAUAAGUGGUGGGCAAGACCGGUGCCAGCCGCCGCGGUAAUCCCGGCGCCACAAGUGGUAGUCACGUUUAUUGGGCUUAAAGCGUCCGUAGCCGGAUAGCUAAGUUUUUAGUCAAAUCCAGCGGCUUAACCGUUGGUCUGCUAGAAAUACUGGUUAUCUUGGGACCGGGAGGAGUUAGAGGAAUGCCAUGGGGAGCGGUAGAAUGCUAUAAUCCAUGGUGGACCAUCAGUGGCGAAGGCGUCUAACUAGAACGGGUCCGACGGUCAGGGACGAAAGCUAGGGGAGCAAACCGGAUUAGAUACCCCCGUAGUC
rnacentral:rRNA from 1 species